rnacentral:sRNA from 1 species
AAUUGAAAACUUAAUAUAAUAGAACCUAGUGCAGAAAGUUUGAACAGCUUGCUAGGAUAACGUGGCGUAAUUCUGAAUGUAGCCUAGAGUGCGAUAGUGUUUUAGGUAGCAGGUAUGUCUUAUGGUGACAUAAGAGUAACUACUAGUAAAAGCUAGUAUCAGUUAAGCGUUAUGUGGAGUGUACAUGGAUUGUAAGGUACAAGACUCUUGGGGGAUAUAAUAGACGUUCCUGUGGAAAAGAAUCUAAGUUAGGUGGAAGCGUGAGAAACUUGACAGACCUUAGAAACCUCAAAAGACUCCCUUUGACGAGAACCAUAGAAAUAUGGGUUUAACAAGAGACCUUGGUACAAGUAGCCUAAGUCAGCUUACAAAAUAUAUGAUAUAAGAAAAACUUAUAACAAUACUAUUUAAUGCUGAAUGUUUAGGUGAACGUUGUUAGCCACCGUGCUAGACCAUACAUUAAAAGCAGAGAGAAGCUAUUAGGUAGCUCCCGAUAGUUCAGCCUCUCUGGGUAUGUGACCGAAUGCAGUGAGUGUGCAUGAAGCAGGAGUAAAAGCCCUAUUAUAUUAAGUUUUGA